UGGGGAAUUUUGCACAAUGGGGGAAACCCUGAUGCAGCGACGCCGCGUGAUUUAGAAGGCCUUCGGGUUGUAAAAAUCUUUUUUACGGGAUGAAAAUGACAGUACCGUAAGAAUAAGGUCCGGCUAAAUACGUGCCAGCAGCCGCGGUAAUACGUAUGGACCGAGCGUUGUCCGGAAUCAUUGGGCGUAAAGGGUACGUAGGCGGCCUAGUAAGUUAGAAGUUAAAGAAUAUAGCUCAACUAUAUAAAGCUUUUAAAACUGCUAGGCUUGAGGGAUGGAAGGGAAAGUGGAAUUCCUGGUGUAGCGGUGAAAUGCGCAGAUAUUAGGAAGAAUACCGGUGGCGAAGGCGACUUUCUGGUCAUCAUCUGACGCUGAGGUACGAAAGCGUGGGUAGCAAACAGG
rnacentral:rRNA from 1 species